rfam:Homo sapiens chromosome 21, GRCh38 reference primary assembly.
ACUGUAUCUUGGCCUUUUGGCUAAGAUCAAGUGGAGUAUCUUUUCUUAUCAGUUUAAUGUUAGGGCUGAGACAGGAACAUUUCCUGCAUGUCUAUGUACAAUUGCAUGAAAUUUUUCAUUUACAGUUUGAAGUUUCUGCUGUACAAAGGGUCCUCUUCUAUUUUUCCCACCUUGGGAAGAUCCUCAGGCUU